AGAGUUUGAUCCUGGCUCAGAACGAACGCUGGCGGCACGCCUAACACAUGCAAGUCGAGCGAGAUUUUCGGAUCUAGCGGCGGACGGGUUAGUAACGCGUGGGAACGUACCUUUUGCUACGGAAUAGCCUCGGGAAACUGGGAGUAAUACCGUAUGUGCCCUUUGGGGGAAAGAUUUAUCGGCAAAGGAUCGGCCCGCGUCUGAUUAGAUAGUUGGUGGGGUAAUGGCCUACCAAGUCUGCGAUCAGUAGCUGGUUUGAGAGGAUGAUCAGCAACACUGGGACUGAGACACGGCCCAGACUCCUACGGGAGGCAGCAGUGGGGAAUCUUAGACAAUGGGCGCAAGCCUGAUCUAGCGAUGCCGCGUGAGUGACGAAGGCCUUAGGGUCGUAAAGCUCUUUCGCCAGGGAUGAUAAUGACAGUACCUGGUAAAGAAACCCCGGCUAACUCCGUG
rnacentral:rRNA from 1 species